rnacentral:rRNA from 1 species
UACGAAGGGGGCUAGCGUUGCUCGGAAUCACUGGGCGUAAAGCGCACGUAGGCGGAUUGCUAAGUCAGGGGUGAAAUCCUGGAGCUCAACUCCAGAACUGCCUUUGAUACUGGCAACCUUGAGUCCGGGAGAGGUGAGUGGAACUGCGAGUGUAGAGGUGAAAUUCGUAGAUAUUCGGAAGAACACCAGUGGCGAAGGCGGCUCACUGGACCGGUAUUGACGCUGAGGUGCGAAAGCGUGGGGAGCAAACAGG